UGAUCCUGGCUCAGGACGAACGCUGGCGGCGUGCCUAACACAUGCAAGUCGAGCGGGGACAGUGGAGUAGCAAUACGAAGCUGUUCUAGCGGCGGACGGGUGAGUAACGCGUGAGCAACCUGUCCCAAACAGGGGGAUAACGAACCGAAAGGUUCACUAAUACCGCAUGAGACCACAUUGCCACAUGGCAGAGGGGUCAAAGGAGUAAUCCGGUUUGGGGUGGGCUCGCGUCUGAUUAGCUAGUUGGUGAGGUAAAGGCCCACCAAGGCAACGAUCAGUAGCCGACCUGAGAGGGUGAUCGGCCACAUUGGAACUGAGAGACGGUCCAAACUCCUACGGGAGGCAGCAGUGGGGAAUAUUGGGCAAUGGGCGAAAGCCUGACCCAGCAACGCCGCGUGAAGGAAGAAGGUUUUCGGAUCGUAAACUUCUAUCCUUGGUGAAGAUAAUGACGGUAGCCAAGAAGGAAGCCCCGGCUAACUACGUGCCAGCAGCCGCGGUAAUACGUAGGGGGCAAGCGUUGUCCGGAAUGAUUGGGCGUAAAGGGCGCGUAGGCGGCCUGGUAAGUCUGGAGUGAAAGUCCUGCUUUUAAGGUGGGAAUUGCUUUGGAUACUGUCGGGCUUGAGUGCAGGAGAGGUAAGUGGAAUUCCCGGUGUAGCGGUGAAAUGCGUAGAGAUCGGGAGGAACACCAGUGGCGAAGGCGACUUACUGGACUGUAACUGACGCUGAGGCGCGAAAGUGUGGGGAGCAAACAGGAUUAGAUACCCUGGUAGUCCACACUGUAAACGAUGAAUGCUAG
rnacentral:rRNA from 1 species